rfam:Solanum lycopersicum cultivar Heinz 1706 chromosome 6, whole genome shotgun sequence.
ACGACCUUACUUGAACAGGAUCUGUUCUAUAGGCUCGUACCACUGAAUUCUUGAAUUCUAAGGAGACAGGAAACCAAGUCUGGUUGAUGAAGCGUAGCCAUGAUACUAGAGCGUGAUUAACAGUCAACUACAGUUUCUCGAGCUGCAGUGGCAGUAGAUGAUCGUUCCUAGGCCCUCAGGCCUAGGAUGGUCUCUUGGUUGUCUGACAGACU